GUUGAAGCAUGUCCUAGGUUGACACAUACUAAAAUUGGAACGAAACUGAGAAGAUUAGCAUUGCCCCUGCGCAAGGAUGACACGCAAAAUCGUGAAGCGUUCCACAUUUUU